AAGCCGUGAUAAGGACAUUUUCUUAGGAGGUCCUUGAAUCUCUCAUGCGCCUCAAAGAGUGUUUCAGAAUCACCUUGCCUGAAGGCCAAAAUUUCUUGUCUCAGUCU